rnacentral:rRNA from 1 species
GAUGAACGCUGGCGGCGUGCUUAACACAUGCAAGUCGAACGGAAAGGCCCUGCUUUUGUGGGUUGCUCGAGUGGCGAACGGGUGAGAAACACGUGAGUAACCUGCCCGUGACUUUGGGAUAACUUCACGAAACUCGGGCUAAUACCGGAUAGGAGCUUCUGCUGCACGGUGGGGGUUGGACAGUUUCGGCGGUUGGGGAUGGUUUCGCGGCUUCCCAGCUUGUUGGUGGGGUAGUGGCUUACCAAGGCUUCGACGGGUAGCCGGCCUGGGCGGGUGACCGGCGACAUUGGGACUGAGAUACGGCCCAGACUCCUACCGGAGGCAGGAGUGGGGAGUAUUGCACAAUGGGCGGAAGCCUGAUGCAGCGGCGCCGCGUGCGGGAUGACGGCCUUCGGGUUGUAAACCGCUUUCGCCUGUGCCGAAGCGUGAGUGACGGUACCGGGUAAAGAAGCACCGGCUAACUACGUG